CCUACGGGAGGCAGCAGUGAGGAAUAUUGGUCAAUGGGCGCGAGUCUGAACCAGCCAAGUAGCGUGAAGGAUGACUGCCCUACGGGUUGUAAACUUCUUUUAUAAAGGAAUAAAGUGAGGCACGUGUGCCUUUUUGUAUGUACUUUAUGAAUAAGGAUAGGCUCACUCCGUGCCAGCAGCCGCGGUAAUACGGAGGAUCCGAGGGUUAUCCGGCUUUAUGGGGUUUAAAGGGUGGGUAGGGGGAAUAUAAAGUCAGCGGUAAAAAUUCGGGGCUCAACACCGUCGUGCAGUUGAAACUGAUGUUCUUGAGUGGGCGAGAAGUAUGCGGAAUGCGUGGUGUAGCGGUGAAAUGCAUAGAUAUCACGAAGAACUCCGAUUGCGAAGGCAGCAUACCGGCGCCCAACUGACGCUGAAGCACGAAAGCGUGGGUAUCGAACAGGAUUAGAUAACCGGGUAGUC
rnacentral:rRNA from 1 species